rnacentral:rRNA from 1 species
UACGGAGUGUGCAAGCGUUAUCCGGAUUUACUGGGUUUAAAGGGUGCGUAGGUGGGCAGGUAAGUCAGUGGUGAAAUCUCCGGGCUUAACCCGGAAACUGCCAUUGAUACUAUCUGUCUUGAAUAUCCUGGAGGUAAGCGGAAUAUGUCAUGUAGCGGUGAAAUGCUUAGAUAUGACAUAGAACACCCAUUGCGAAGGCAGCUUACUACGGGAUUAUUGACACUGAGGCACGAAAGCGUGGGGAUCAAACAGG